rnacentral:rRNA from 1 species
CAGCAGCCGCGGUAAUACAGAGGGUGCGAGCGUUAAUCGGAUUUACUGGGCGUAAAGCGUGCGUAGGCGGCUAAUUGAGUCGGAUGUGAAAUCCCCGAGCUUAACUUGGGAAUUGCAUUCGAUACUGGUUAGCUAGAGUGUGGGAGAGGAUGGUAGAAUUCCAGGUGUAGCGGUGAAAUGCGUAGAGAUCUGGAGGAAUACCGAUGGCGAAGGCAGCCAUCUGGCCUAACACUGACGCUGAGGUACGAAAGCAUGGGGAGCAAACAGGAUUAGAGACCCCGUAGUCCCUGUCUCUUAUACA